GUCCAAAUGGUGCCAAAUGCCAUCCAGUUCUGCAGACUGGGAAGUACAAGGUCAAGAUGCCAGCAGGCUUGGUCUCUGGUUCAAAGAUGGCACCUGUCUUGUUGCUUUGUGAUCAGUGCAAGCAGAAGGAAGGCUACUUCCUCACACUGGAGAAGAACAGAAGAGAGAAACCACUGCACAGGCCCUUCUCACAGUUCCAUGAAUCUAGUUAUGAGCCAUGAUGUCAAUCAGAGUUUCCAUCAGCUUGAGGGGAGAAUCUCUUCCACUGAAUAUGUGGAGAAGGUUACAGUGUUCUUCUGUCUGAUUUUCCAUAAAUUCCUCAUCAGGGAUCACAAAUUCAUCUUGCCAAAGGGGCUGCAGUGUAAGCUGACCAUCCCAGCUCCUUCCUGCUUUUGCAGUUAGGAGUGAGCAGCUGCAAGCAGCACUACAACUGGAAAGUCUCACUAUGGAAGUGGUUGGUGGCAGCCUCCCAGGAUAAAACAACUCAGUGAGAAUGGAGUUUCCAACUGUCUGACUCGCAACCUGUAUUGCUUCAUCCUGAGUAGCUGUAGUUACCAGAGUGCAGCAACCAUCAUCAUCAGCAGAAAUAAGCCACAGCAAUGUGUGGGGCUAGGAGGGUUAGCAGAGCUAUCUGUGGGGAGCAACUGAGAAUCAUGUUAGGAAAGAGAAUAAAGAACAGGUCCAGGCAUGGGCAGAAGAUGG
rnacentral:lncRNA from 1 species